UUGACCUGUGCUCCAAGAAGGUAGUAGUCUACUGCCCCACACACAGAAAGGAAGAAUUUUGGGGGUAAGAAAUCCACCAUGAUCUGAUCUCUUUGGUAAAGGGAGGCUCAUGGAACCCUUUCAGGUCGGCUUGAUAGAGAUUCUCUGUGUAUCGAAUUCGACUGCGAGCAAAUUUCAGCCUAGCUAUUCUAUUAAGUUCUUUAUAGGCUGCUCAGAUGAGGAUGGUCGUCAUUUUGUGUAGGUUGAUCUAUCUGAGGUUAUGCAUUGGCUUGAUCCUUGUUGUCCGCCGAAAGUAGGUUCUGCACCACUGUAGAUAAGUUCUGUAUUUGCUGAAAGAGCAAAUUGAACUACUCAUCUGAUAUAGCGACUGAAUGUUAUGGAGCCACUAGUGCAGAAAGAGGAUCCAAGCCGUGAGAAUUAGAAAAUUUCGCUCGAUUGUUCCAUGCAACUUGCCUGCUACUAUCAGUCCAUUGUUCCUUCUAGACUUCAUCUUUUCUAAUCUCGCUCUUUUAUUUUUCUGAGACAGCACCAAUAUAUUGUCGCCAAAAUCUAAUCUGGUGGUCAGAAGGCUCCUGACUGGUCCACUGUACACAAGAAGGAAGAAAAGCUCGAAUGUUGCCGAAACUAAUUCGGCCGAAGGCCCUCUAAAAUUCAAGUCAGAAAGGACUCUGGAGAACUGUUCGAGGGGAGAGCAAAAUGGUCAGAAAAUAAAAGCAAAAUAUGUCCUCCUAUGCAUAUCUAGCAUUUGGGCCUUCUUUUAUAGAUAGAAAGUCCUUUGUUCCACUAGAUUCAAACUCUACGUACAGUCCAUGGCUGAGUGAGAAGCUAUCUGAGUUUUUCUUAUAUGGAUCAGCUCACAAAUUUGAGCCCAGGGGAAAUUGAAUCCCUAUUAUACUA